GUAAUCGCGGAUCAGCACGCCGCGGUGAAUACGUUCCCGGGCCUUGUACACACCGCCCGUCACACCAUGGAAGUCUCGCAAUGCCCGAAGCCGGUGGCCUAACCACUUAUGUGGAAGGAGCCGUCUAAGGCAGGGCAGAUGACUGGGGUGAAGUCGUAACAAGGUAAC
rnacentral:rRNA from 1 species